rnacentral:rRNA from 1 species
CACGAAGUUAGCCGUCCCUUCCUCUUCCGGUACUAUCAACCCUGUCUGCUAUUCACAGCCAGGUCUUACUCCCGGAUGACAGGAGUUUACAAUCCGAAGACCGUCAUCCUCCACGCGGCGUUGCACCAUCAGGGUUUGCCCCCCGAUUGUGAAUUAUUCUCGACCUGCUGCCACCCGUAGGUGUCUGGACCGUGUCUCAGUUCCAGUGUGCCUGAUCGUCCUCUCAGACCAGGUACCCGUCGUCGCCUUGGUGAGCCAUUACCUCACCAACAAGCUGAUAGGGCGCGAACCAAUCCUAUAGCGACAGCCAUUACUGGCCACCUUUACUCUUGCGAGACCAUGGGGUAUUAACUCCAAGUUUCCCUGGGCUAUUCCCCGACUAUAGGGUCAUGUAAUUCACGUGUUACUCACCCGUGCGCCACUAAACACAUCUUGUAUUACUACUCAAUGUGUCCCGUGCGACUUGCAUGUCUUAAACACGCCGCCAGCGUGUUC